UCAAAGUUCUUGAAAAUUAAAAUAUCUGUGUUCAGAAGAUAGGUCUCCACCUGCAUAUUCCUACAACUUCUCAGAGUCCCGUGGAUGAUGACUGAGGAGACAAACCAUGCAGCAAACGAAA